rnacentral:lncRNA from 1 species
CAGGGCUCACUGACCACCUAGACCUGCUCUCCUGUGGUACAGAACAAAGAGACCUGGACGAUGGAGAGGGAAGAGACAGUAGCUAAGGAUCCAGGGCCACAAGCCGGCUAUUCAUUGUUCUUCAAAGAGAAAAUCAAAGAAGAAACACGGAAAGAAAUGGCUGAUUCUCCAUUAAUCAUGUCCCAGCGUCUGUUGACAUUUGGGGAUGUGGCUGUUGACUUCCCCCAGGAGGAGUGGGAAUGCCUGGACUCUGCUCAGAGGGCUUUGUAUAUUGAUGUGAUGUUGGAGUGGCAAAUCUUUUACUAAGUGUUCAACUCUUCAAACACAUCAAAAAAUUCAUACUGGAGAGAAACCUUACAAAUGUAGGGAAUGCAACAAAUCCUUUACCCAGGACUCACAUCUUAGAACACAUCAGAGAGUUCAUACUGGAGAGAGACCUUACAUAUGUAAGGAAUGUGGCAAAUCUUUUACUAGGUGUUCAUAUCUUAGAGCACAUCAGAAAAUUCAUACUGGAGAGAAACCGUACAAAUGCAAAGACUGUGACGUAUCCUUUAUGCAGAUUUCAAAUCUGAGAAGACAUCAGAGGGUUCAUACUGGAGAAAAACUAUUGUAACUAUUGUGACAUAGCAUUUAUCUGAUAUUCCUUGCUUACAAAUCACAACAGUAUAAGUAAUAGAAACAUAAAAAU